GACCCAGAUCAAGUUUGACUGAAAGGCAAACACCAUUCCCAACUGGCUUUACCAUCUGUCUUUCCACAGAGACAACUCACAGGCUAUAAAGUGCUUAACAUUUCCUUGGCUUCAGAAGGCACUAGGGAAGGAGAGCUUAAGGUACCAUUAAAAAAAAAAAGAAGAAGAAGAAGAAGAAGAAAGAAAACCACAUCUUGGUUAACUGAG
rnacentral:lncRNA from 10 species